UUUCAGUUGUAAAGGGCCCUAUAAAAGUUUUAGAAAGAUAGAGGUUACUUUUUUAAAAAUAACAAUAGGGUGAAAUAUAUUCUGAGGUCCCGGUAGGACUUGGGUUAAGGUUUUUGUACACCCACUGAGGGUAACUGUGACAGUGUGACUACUUUGAUUACUGGGGCCAAGGAACCAUGGUCACCGUCACCUCAGCUACGAAUGGCCCGUCUGUCUACCCCAUGGUUUCCUGCUGCACUUCCAAAAUUGAAAAUGCUAAGACAGAGACAGUCAUAGCCUGCCUUGUGGACGACUACUUCCCAGAGCCAGUGUCCAUCAGCUGGAACUCUGGCCAGAUCACUAAGGAGGCUAAGUUUUUCCCAGCUGUGCAGUCCAAGAAUGAAAGGUACACCAAGACCAGCCAGCUCACCAUCCCUUCCAGCAGCUUACAGAGCAGCAGCAGCUACCAGUGCAACGUGGAGCACAAACUUUCAGGAAAAAACAUCUCCAAGUCAUUCCCUGCAGAUUUGUGUGCUGAAAAGACCGCUGAACCCCAGGUUCGCAUCCUGCCCCCAUCUUGCGAGGAUAGUUCUACAGAGAAGCCACUGGAGCUGAUUUGUCUCUUCCUGAACUUGGGCCCUGGCAAGGCCAAUGUGGAAUGGCUUGUGAAUGGAGUGAAGGACAAGACGUACAGCUUGAAUGUUGACCGUGUAGACGAUGCAAAUGGGUUAAACGUGGGCUACAACCGAAUAAAGCUUACCAAGCAAGCCUGGGACAAUGAAAAUGUUUACACUUGCAAAGUGACUCAUCCUAAAAUUGCAGGCGGCUACAUGAUGUACAACACCAGCAAAUGCUCAGCCUGUCUCAUAAACUUUCCUUACCCCAGCAUCUACAUAACAAAGCCAUCCUAUGAAGAUGUGCUUGCCAACACUGGCCUGGUUACAUGCCUCGUGCUGGCAUCUGAUUUAAGUGGUGCUGACAUCAAAUGGGAAGUGGAUGGGAGAAAAAGCCCUAAUGGGAAUACAGGACGUAUCCAGACCCACAACAACGGGACCCAAACCCGCCUCAGCUCCCAUCAGGUGACUCUGAAGCAAUGGAACAGCAUCUCCACAUUUACUUGCAAAGUAAAGGUCCCCUGCUAUGAAGAGAUGAAAGAACAAGUAGCCAUGAGUGAGAAAAAUGUCCAGAGGAAAACACCAUCGGUCACCAUUUCCCGAGCCUAUCGCGAAGACGCCUCUGGAAACAGAGUUGCCAUCCUACUUAUCUGUGAAGUUAGUGGCUUCUCCCCCAAGGAGAUCAGCAUUUCAUGGCAGAAGAACAAUGCCCAGGAACCCAAAUCCCAUUACAAUAAUGGCCCUGUGUACGGAAACGACUUAUACUCAACUGAAAGCAUCCUGAAGGUGGAUAAAGGUGAAGGACCAGCAAUUUAUACCUGUGUUGUGCAGCACCCAACUUUGAAAACUCCUGAUAAAGUUACUGCAAAUGUGUCCUUUGAUUUCCUGGAACCAGCUCCCCCACAAGUUACUGUCUCCCAUGCGCCAGACAUAGGUGGACAUGAGAAACUGACCUGCUUCACUACUGGCUUCUACCCAAAGGACAUAGACAUCUAUUGGAUGGUCAAAAAGGAGAUGCAAAACUGCACCUUCAAAUCACCUCUGGUAGCCCUAGCUGAUGGAAAGUUCCAGCAGACUUGUGAGCUGCUGAUCAGUGCAGAAGACUGGAGCACGGUGGAUACAUACACUUGUAUUGUGACCCAUAGCUCCCUUACUGGAAUCCUGGAAAAGACCUUACGCUCCACUGGUUGGCAGAUCUCAGCAGCAAACUCCAGUUUAAUAGAGCCCCCAUCCUUGAGGGAGCUCUUUGUCAAUAAGACAGCAGCUGUGACAUGCAAGACCCAACUUGUCAAUGCCAGCAUCCAGUGGAUGAUGAAUGAACAACCCAUGGACUUAAGGGCAGUGAGGUCAGAGGAGCCAGAGAAACAAAAUGUCAGCACCUGGAUCCAGAGCUGGCUGCAAGUCAACCUGAGCGAGUGGAAUUCCACCAAGAAGGUCAGCUGUUUAAUCACGAGUAACCAGGAAGAAAGAAAGUUGGAUAUCAGCUUAAACCAUGGCCCUUGGAAGGCUCCAAGCACCUAUCUCCUGCCUGCAUCCUCUGACACUGCCUACAAAGACCAAAGCCUCACCCUCUUCUGCAUUAUCAAAGACUUCUACCCAAAAGAUGUCUCAGUCUGGUGGCAGAAGGAUGAGGUGCCAAUCGACAUGGACCGUCAGCCUCAGAAUGACCACCCGAGCUGUGACCACCAGAGCCAGCGAUGUUCCCUGGUCAGCAAACUGGAGGUGUCCAGGACAGAAUGGCUACUGGGGACUACCUACACCUGCCUAGUUGCCCACAUGUCUUCUGAAGUGAUUCUAGAAAGAAGCGUUAAUGCCUAUACUGACUCUUGGGACUGCAGCAUCAUGAACUUCAGUCUUUGUGGCUUCCGAGAUGACAAUGAGGAUGACUACACCGAGCUGGACGAUGGCAACUGCGUCUGGACCACAGUCUCUACGUUCAUCGCCCUCUUCCUUGUCAUGCUUUUCUACAGUGGCUUUGUCACCUUCAUCAAGGUGAAAUAAUUACAGCUCUGCUUAAAAGGAAGAAGACUGGAGGGAGCCAACCUCAUUCUCUCCCUCUCUCCCAUUCUCUUAGCCCUUUUAUGUUCCCUUGUCUGCCCAUGAUGGCAUUGUGUUUGCCUCAAAGGGAACAGUUGUCCUACCAGAAGUGAGAGCAGAAGAGGAAAUGUCUCUCCGUCCAUUUUAGCAAGGACAUUUUUCCACAUCUCCCAACCCAGUUGGGGAUGGGAGUGGAUAGGACUCCAGCUGGGGCUGUAUGGAUAAAAUGCUCUCUUCCUCUUCCCCUCAGCUUCCCCUUACCAGCUUUCACAUUCCUCAGAAAUACCUUCUCUUCACUCCCCAGUCCUGAAAGGAUACAGGAGUUGGAAGGGGUGGGCACACCAUCUUCACCAGGAGAUCUGAUGGGCAGGGCAGAGUACCCCCUCCGUUUCAACUUGUCCUGGGUCCCAUUUUGUAAAAGCACUUGCUUGUGGGCUGCAUCUGCCCUAAGCCCUCCCACAGAGAUUGAAUCCUAAAGAAACCAUCCCACUUCUAGUGCCCCCACCCCACUCUAACCUCACAAGACCCAUAUUGAUUUCCCCACCAGAUUCCCCUGUCUUCCUCCAAAGGUACCCAAAGCAGACCUGUUUUCUGAAUGGGAUCCUUACUUGCAACAAUUCCAUUGAAUGAGGCAAAUGUUCUGGUUCAACCUCACAAAAACUAAUUCAACCCAAAAAGACACCACCUCAUUGUGGUUCUCCCCAAACCCAAAUUACUCCAACCUGUGCCUGUUCAUCCUCUCCCCCAGAAAGCAGUCCAUCUAAAAUGGUUUCUUCAUUUUCCCAGCUCCCAGAAGGAACCCCAAACCCAGAGCUCGAACAAAGCCCAAAACCAGAAACACAUUCUAUGCCUACAACAAUAAUUCCUAGCCACCUUCGAUUGUCCAACCCUAGCUCUCUUGCAGCCACUCGGUUCCCGUUAUGUUCUCCUGUGCUAGUUACUUGUAUGAAACCCUAAAGAUUCACCCCAUAACACAAUACUUUCACUGCCAUGAAUUAUAACAUAGGGUGGGCAUAUUUCAUAUGAAUAACUGACUGAAUUAUAUUAUUGCAUUGCUUUUAGUGGAGCAGCACUGAUUUUGGUAGCUUUGCCUUAGCCUGUUUCAGUGCGUGUUGCAUGGGCAUGCCUUAUAUGCAGUUGCAUUGCCUUGUACUAUACUGUAGUAUGGUGCCAUACUAUAUGAUAUUAUAUCUCACUAAUUUGAAUUGGCCUGUUGCAUACUAGGUAGCAUGUUGCAUUGUCCAAUAGUGAACUUAUCUGCAGUGAUGCUGUGCUGAAGUGGAUUAUCAGGUUACAUGCUAUGUUAGAUUUACUAUUAAUCUUUUCUGUGACACCAGUGCUCAUGGAAGAGCUGGGAAGGACGCCCCAUUGUCCUAGACAGGGCAUAAGCAUAGAUUAACAGACCUGUCCAAAAGUCUUUAUACUCUACCUAGACCAGACUUAUGUGUGGAUGGGGAAAUAGCUAUAACUCCCCAGCAGAGUAAACAAUGUGAAGACAGCAAACAGCGAAAUUGGGGGAAGAGGUGGGGCAUCUGAAGGAAAGAUAAAAGGGAUGUGACAGGGGAGAAGGUAAGAGGAGGUAGAUAAAGUGAAGCAGGGUGACAGAGUAAGAAGCCCCUCAGCACACAAAACUAAGUAUAUUCCCAGCAUUCAAAGCUUUGUUUAAAGUUCCUGCACUGCAGUUGAUUCAUUCACACUGCAACAAGGAGUUGUAUAGCAGCAAUGGCAUGGCAUGGCAUUGAGUUGCAUGGCAUUGCCGUGUCUAGUUUCAUUGGGUCACGUGGUACUGAGUUGCAUUUCCUGCUUUACGCAGAAAUGUGCUCAUGCACUGUCACGGAAAUAUCAAGGCCUCCAUCAUGGAGUCCUGUGCUCUGCAAUUGAGAGCAGCUGCCUCACUCAGUCCCAUUCUUCAGUUGAUCAAGUGCCAUUUUAUGAUCUAUUAAGGUCCUUUGUCCUCACUGCUCCGAUUGGAAGGUUCCCCCAGAACCUCUAUCAUCUGAUGGUUAGAAACUUGCUACUGCUUUCUAGCCUACAUUCACUCAGGUCCAGUUUAUACCCCUGUAGCACUGAGUUACAUUGGUUUUGUUUCAUGAUAUCACAGUACAUGAUAUCAACUUUGCAUUGUGCCAGCAUUAAAUGGGGCAUAGUCUUAUUCCAGUCUAUCACAUUAAGCUGCAUUGUAUCGUGUCUUAAGGCAAAACAUACCUAUGUAUUGUAAUAUGUACUUGAGUUGGGGAUUCCUUGUCAUUCUUUUGCUUUUAAAUAAAAACUAUUAU